AGUGAACGCUGGCGGUAGGCCUAACACAUGCAAGUCGAACGGCAGCACAGUAAGAGCUUGCUCUUACGGGUGGCGAGUGGCGGACGGGUGAGGAAUACAUCGGAAUCUACUUUUUCGUGGGGGAUAACGUAGGGAAACUUACGCUAAUACCGCAUACGACCUACGGGUGAAAGCAGGGGAUCUUCGGACCUUGCGCGAUUGAAUGAGCCGAUGUCGGAUUAGCUAGUUGGCGGGGUAAAGGCCCACCAAGGCGACGAUCCGUAGCUGGUCUGAGAGGAUGAUCAGCCACACUGGAACUGAGACACGGCCCAGACUCCUACGGGAGGCAGCAGUGGGGAAUAUUGGACAAUGGGCGCAAGCCUGAUCCAGCCAUACCGCGUGGGUGAAGGAGGCCUUCGGGUUGUAAAGCCCUUUUGUUGGGAAAGAAAAGCAGCAGGUUAAUACCCCGCUGUUCUGACGGUACCCAAAGAAUAAGCACCGGCUAACUUCGUG
rnacentral:rRNA from 1 species